GAGACCGUAGCUCAGUGGAUAGAGCGCAACGCUGCGGACGUUGAGGUCGGGAGUUCGAGUCUCCCCGGUCUCGCCU
rnacentral:tRNA from 1 species